GAAAUGCGAUAAGUAAUGUGAAUUGCAGAGUUCAGUGAAUCAUCGAAUCUUUGAACGCACAUUGCGCCCGCCAGUAUUCUGGCGGGCAUGCCUGUUCGAGCGUCAUUACAACCCUCAGGCCCCUGGGCCUGGCGUUGGGGAUCGGCGGAAGCCCCCUGCGGGCACAACGCCGUCCCCCAAAUACAGUGGCGGUCCCGCCGCAGCUUCCAUUGCGUAGUAGCUAACACCUCGCAACUGGAGAGCGGCGCGGCCACGCCGUAAAACACCCAACUUCUGAAUGUUGACCUCGAAUCAGGUAGGAAUACCCGCUGAACUUAAGC
rnacentral:misc_RNA from 1 species